UACGGAAGGCAGCAGUGGGGAAUAUUGCACAAUGGGCGCAAGCCUGAUGCAGCCAUGCCGCGUGUAUGAAGAAGGCCUUCGGGUUGUAAAGUACUUUCAGCGGGGAGGAAGGCGGUGGAGUUAAUAGCUUCACCGAUUGACGUUACCCGCAGAAGAAGCACCGGCUAACUCCGUGCCAGCAGCCGCGGUAAUACGGAGGGUGCAAGCGUUAAUCGGAAUUACUGGGCGUAAAGCGCACGCAGGCGGUCUGUCAAGUCGGAUGUGAAAUCCCCGGGCUUAACCUGGGAACUGCAUUCGAAACUGGCAGGCUAGAGUCUUGUAGAGGGGGUAGAAUUCCAGGUGUAGCGGUGAAAUGCGUAGAGAUCUGGAGGAAUACCGGUGGCGAAGGCGGCCCCUGGGACAAAGACUGACGCUCAGGUGCGAAAGCGUGGGGAGCAAACAGGGAUUAGGAUACC
rnacentral:rRNA from 1 species